ACUCAAAUGAAUUGACGGGGGCCCGCACAAGCAGCGGAGCGUGUGGUUUAAUUCGACGCAACGCGAAGCACCUCACCCAGGUUUGACAUGACCCUGCACCCGCACGAAAGUGCGCUCCUUCGAGGGUGGGUCACAGAUGCUGCAUGGCUGUCGUCAGCUCGUGUCGUGAGAUGUUGGGUUCAGUCCCGCAACGAGCGCAACCCCUACGCUGAGUUACCGGUGUCUCAGCGAACAGCCGCCCGCGAGGGCGGAGGAAGGCGGGGAUGACGUCAAGUCCGCAUGGCUCUUACGCCUGGGGCGACACACACGCUACAAUGACUAGCGCAGCGCGCUGCGAGCUGGUAACAGCAAGCUAAUCGUCAAGGCUAGUCUCAGUGCAGAUCGGGGGCUGCAACUCGCCCCCGUGAAGGCGGAGUUGCUAGUAACCGCGUAUCAGCCACGGCGCGGUGAAUACGUACCCGGGCCUUGUACACACCGCCCGU
rnacentral:rRNA from 1 species